GUUGUAUGGUUAAGUGACUAAGCGUACAUGGUGGAUGCCUUGGCAGUCAGAGGCGAUGAAGGACGUACUAACCUGCGAUAAGCUGUGAGAAGUCGGUAAGAGACGCUAUUACUCACAGAUUUCCGAAUGGGGAAACCCACCCGAGAUAACUCGGGUAUCUGUUACUGAAUACAUAGGUAACAGAGGCGAACCGGGAGAACUGAAACAUCUAAGUACCCCGAGGAAAAGAAAUCAACCGAGAUUCCCUCAGUAGCGGCGAGCGAACGGGGAUUAGCCCUUAAGCAUCUUGGAAGUUAGUGGAACGGUCCUGGAAAGGCCGGCGAUACAGGGUGAUAGCCCCGUACACGAAAACAACCUUGAUGUGAAAUCGAGUAGGGCGGGACACGUGACAUCCUGUCUGAAUAUGGGGGGACCAUCCUCCAAGGCUAAAUACUCCUGACUGACCGAUAGUGAACCAGUACCGUGAGGGAAAGGCGAAAAGAACCCCUGUGAGGGGAGUGAAAUAGAACCUGAAACCGUGUACGUACAAGCAGUGGGAGCCCUUCGGGGUGACUGCGUACCUUUUGUAUAAUGGGUCAGCGACUUACAUUUUGUAGCGAGGUUAACCGUAUAGGGGAGCCGUAGGGAAACCGAGUCUUAACUGGGCGUCUAGUUGCAAGGUGUAGACCCGAAACCGGGUGAUCUAGCCAUGGGCAGGUUGAAGGUUGAGUAACAUCAACUGGAGGACCGAACCCACUAACGUUGCAAAGUUAGGGGAUGACCUGUGGCUGGGGGUGAAAGGCCAAUCAAACUCGGAGAUAGCUGGUUCUCCCCGAAAGCUAUUUAGGUAGCGCCUCGGACGAAUACUACUGGGGGUAGAGCACUGUUUGGGCUAGGGGGUCAUCCCGACUUACCAACCCCAUGCAAACUCCGAAUACCAGUAAGUAAUAUCCGGGAGACACACGGCGGGUGCUAACGUCCGUCGUGAAGAGGGAAACAACCCAGACCGCCGGCUAAGGUCCCAAAGUUCUGGUUAAGUGGGAAACGAUGUGGGAAGGCUCAGACAGCUAGGAUGUUGGCUUAGAAGCAGCCAUCAUUUAAAGAAAGCGUAAUAGCUCACUAGUCGAGUCGGCCUGCGCGGAAGAUGUAACGGGGCUCAAACCAGGCACCGAAGCCGCGGAUUCACACUUAUGUGUGAGUGGUAGGGGAGCGUUCUGUAAGUCUGCGAAGGUGUAUCGAGAGGUAUGCUGGAGAUAUCAGAAGUGCGAAUGCUGACGUAAGUAACGAUAAAGGGGGUGAAAAGCCUCCUCGCCGGAAGACCAAGGGUUCCUGUCCAACGUUAAUCGGGGCAGGGUGAGUCGACCCCUAAGGCGAGGCCGAAAGGCGUAGUCGAUGGGAAGCAGGUUAAUAUUCCUGCACGACUUGUAAUUGCGAUGGGGGGACGGAGAAGGCUAGGUGGGCCAGGCGACGGUUGUCCUGGUGAAAGUGCGUAGGUGGUGUUUCUAGGCAAAUCCGGAGACACAACACUGAGACACGAGACGAACACACUACGGUGUGGAAGCCAUUGAUGCCCUGCUUCCAGGAAAAGCCUCUAAGCUUCAGAUUACAAGUCAUCGUACCCCAAACCGACACAGGUGGUCGGGUAGAGAAUACCAAGGCGCUUGAGAGAACUCGGGUGAAGGAACUAGGCAAAAUAGAACCGUAACUUCGGGAGAAGGUUCGCUCUUGACAGUGAAGUCCCUUGCGGAUGGAGCAGUUGGGAGUCGCAGUGACCAGAUGGCUGGGACUGUUUAUCAAAAACACAGCACUCUGCAAACACGAAAGUGGACGUAUAGGGUGUGACACCUGCCCGGUGCCGGAAGGUUAAUUGAUGGGGUUAGCGCAAGCGAAGCUCUUGAUCGAAGCCCCGGUAAACGGCGGCCGUAACUAUAACGGUCCUAAGGUAGCGAAAUUCCUUGUCGGGUAAGUUCCGACCUGCACGAAUGGUGUAACCAUGGCCAUGCUGUCUCCACCCGAGACUCAGUGAAAUCGAAUUCGCCGUGAAGAUGCGGUGUACCCGCGGCUAGACGGAAAGACCCCGUGAACCUUUACUACAGCUUGGCACUGAACAUUGAACCUACAUGUGUAGGAUAGGUGGGAGGCUUUGAAGGCGUGACGCCAGUUGCGCUGGAGCCGUCCUUGAAAUACCACCCUUGUAUGUUUGAUGUUCUAACGCAGGGCCCUGAAUCGGGCUCGCGGACAGUGCCUGGUGGGUAGUUUGACUGGGGCGGUCUCCUCCCAAAGAGUAACGGAGGAGCACGAAGGUUGGCUAAUCCUGGUCGGACAUCAGGAGGUUAGUGCAAUGGCAUAAGCCAGCUUAACUGCGAGACGGACAGGUCGAGCAGGUACGAAAGUAGGUCAUAGUGAUCCGGUGGUUCUGAAUGGAAGGGCCAUCGCUCAACGGAUAAAAGGUACUCCGGGGAUAACAGGCUGAUACCGCCCAAGAGUUCAUAUCGACGGCGGUGUUUGGCACCUCGAUGUCGGCUCAUCACAUCCUGGGGCUGAAGUCGGUCCCAAGGGUAUGGCUGUUCGCCAUUUAAAGUGGUACGCGAGCUGGGUUCAGAACGUCGUGAGACAGUUCGGUCCCUAUCUGCCGUGGGCGUUGGAUGAUUGAAGGGAGUUGCUCCUAGUACGAGAGGACCGGAGUGAACGAACCUCUGGUGUUCGGGUUGUCACGCCAGUGGCACUGCCCGGUAGCUAAGUUCGGAAUCGAUAACCGCUGAAAGCAUCUAAGCGGGAAGCGAGCCCUGAGAUGAGUCAUCCCUGACCCCUUGAGGGUCCUAAAGGGCCGUUGGAGACCACAACGUUGAUAGGCGGGGUGUGUAAGUGCAGCGAUGCAUUGAGCUAACCCGUACUAAUUACCCGUGAGGCUUAACCAUACAACACCCAAGAAGU
rnacentral:rRNA from 1 species